rnacentral:snoRNA from 1 species
UCGUCAGUGAGGUACAUCCUUACCUGUCCCCCCCACGGGGGGGCAGCACGUGAUGAUCGGAGAGCGCAUGAGACGUGAUUAGAGUCUCCGCGGCCGCGGGCCGCAACCCCGCGGCUCGCUCCUGUCUGAA